rnacentral:rRNA from 1 species
UACGUAGGCGGAAAAUUAAGUCAGUGGUGAAAUCCUGCAGCUUAACUGUAGAACUGUCAUUGAUACUGGUUUUCUUGAAUACAGUUGAGGUAGGCGGAAUGUGUAAUGUAGCGGUGAAAUGCUUAGAUAUUACACAGAACACCGAUUGCGAAGACAGCUUACUAAACUGUUAUUGACGCUGAGGUACGAAAGCGUGGGGAGCAAACCGGAUUAGAUACCCGAGUAGUCC